AGGAGCUUGCUCCUUGGGUGACGAGUGGCGGACGGGUGAGUAAUGUCUGGGAAACUGCCCGAUGGAGGGGGAUAACUACUGGAAACGGUAGCUAAUACCGCAUAACGUCGCAAGACCAAAGAGGGGGACCUUCGGGCCUCUUGCCAUCGGAUGUGCCCAGAUGGGAUUAGCUAGUAGGUGGGGUAACGGCUCACCUAGGCGACGAUCCCUAGCUGGUCUGAGAGGAUGACCAGCCACACUGGAACUGAGACACGGUCCAGACUCCUACGGGAGGCAGCAGUGGGGAAUAUUGCACAAUGGGCGCAAGCCUGAUGCAGCCAUGCCGCGUGUAUGAAGAAGGCCUUCGGGUUGUAAAGUACUUUCAGCGAGGAGGAAGGCGUUGUGGUUAAUAACCGCAACGAUUGACGUUACUCGCAGAAGAAGCACCGGCUAACUCCGUGCCAGCAGCCGCGGUAAUACGGAGGGUGCAAGCGUUAAUCGGAAUUACUGGGCGUAAAGCGCACGCAGGCGGUCUGUCAAGUCGGAUGUGAAAUCCCCGGGCUCAACCUGGGAACUGCAUCCGAAACUGGCAGGCUAGAGUCUUGUA
rnacentral:rRNA from 1 species